CCUACGGGAGACAGCAGUGAGGAAUAUUGGUCAAUGGGCGGGAGCCUGAACCAGCCAAGUCGCGUGAGGGAAGACGGGCCUAUGGAUUGUAAACCUCGGUAGGCGGGGAGCAAUGCCGGGCACGCGUGCCCGGAGGGAGAGUACCCGAAGAAGAAGCAUCGGCUAACUCCGUGCCAGCAGCCGCGGUAAUACGGAGGAUGCGAGCGUUAUCCGGAUUUAUGGGGUUUAAAGGGUGCGUAGGCGGAUUUUUAAGUCAGCGGUAAAAUGUCCGGGCUCAACCCGGGCCGGCCGUUGAAACUGGGGAUCUUGAGUGGGCGAGAAGUAUGCGGAAUGCGUGGUGUAGCGGUGCAAUGCAUAGAUAUCACGCAGAACUCCGAUUGCGAAGGCAGCAUACCGGCGCCCGACUGACGCUGAGGCACGAAAGCGUGGGGAUCGAACAGGAUUAGAUACCCCUGUAGUC
rnacentral:rRNA from 1 species